UUUUCACCUCCCCACGAUCGGUCCGCUCACACACCGCCCACAGAAACAAUCCAUCGCCACCCACGACUCCCUCACCCUGACUAGGGUUCCUAGCCCUAUCCUCCGCCGCCGUUGCGUGUUCCCGUCUGACAUCGCCCGAGCGCUUUGUUGACCUCGCCGGGAGCAGCCAGCUGGAUCACGCCGCCAUGCCUCCCUCUCUCCCUUCUCUUCUUUCCCCCUACCUUCUCUCUCUCCUCUGAACUGCGCAUCGCUCCUGUUAGAGGCCGGGGACACCUCGGCACACGCCGCCUACCGGGAGACGCCGGUGCUGGACAGGGAUAGCCAGGCAGCCGUGCGCGUGCAAGGUCGGUUCGCGGCACUGCCUCGUCCAGCCCAAGCCGCUCAUCCGCGUCGCCGUGUUCGCUCAAGCCGUUGCGUCCCGUGGAGGAGGGAGCAGGCACAUGAACGCGGGCGCCGCUGGAGAUGUUGAUGAAAAGCAGAGGAAUUUCAUUCCGUUGAUGCUUCAGCAAUCCUUUUAUCUCACCACGCCCACAUGCUCCGAUGAAGCAAUUCUCAACGGCGGUGGCUGGUUGACUCGUCUCAGGUCACAGUGAUUAGUGCCAAUUAGCCUGAUCGUGCAGUGAUGCCAGCUGGAUCACGCCGCCGUGCCUCCCUCUCUCCCUUCUCUUCUUUUCCCCUACCUCUCUCUCUCCUCUGAACUGCUCCUCUCUGCAGGUGCCGCCAUGGCCGCGUCUUGGAGCUCGCCGCCGUGGGCUGCGCGCCCCUUCGAUGACAGCCUUCCUCGCCCACGUCCAGGUCCUCUCAAUCCUAAUUUGACGAAUGGGAGCGGAAGCUGCAAUGUCAAGAUCCGCAAGCAGGACAUGAACCACCUUGCCAUGAAUUUCCUCGUCACAUUAGGAUUCAUCGACGCCACCAACAGGUUCUGUAUCAAUUCCGGCACCCAACGUACUGUAUGCCCACACGUUUAAAUCAUGCCGCUCUUACUCCUGCAAUACUCCAAGAAUAGUACUUGAGAUUUAGGCAGCAGUGGGCAUGGUAAUUAAUUUUUAUUUAGUUGGUUCAGUUACUAUCAUUGGAAGUGCCAGACAGAUCUCGCCGUCAAGAGUAGCGCUGCAGGGUCAUUCACCUGGUUGGCCUCUUAUGUAACUGGUGUUGUUGUGUCCAUGUGGAAGGAGAGCCCGCUUCUCCGGGACGCCGGCGCUGACAUGCUCACCGUAGGCGACGUCAUGGCGGUGCUCGACUUCAGGGAGGAGGUCGGCAACCACCACUUCUUGGACCAAGUAAAGCUUUGCUCGCCAUUGAAAUAAUCUCGUUUCUUGUUUUUUCUCUUUCUGAUAUGAUUGAUGAUUUAUUCCAUUUGCACAAAAGGAUUCUCGAGGAAAUAGCACAAGCUAAUUCAAAAUCAUCUCUUAGUUGAUCAAGCAUGUAAUCAUAAAGUGAAGGUAGAGAAGUUUGGAAUAGUAACCUCGUGGUUUCAUUACCCACGCAUUGGAGAUCCCAUGCAAACUAUUGUGAUUUGUGAGAAGUUUCAGAAAUUUGCAAUUUGUGAGCGGGUACUAAGUUCUUUCUCAUGCAGUUACAUUGUUGUCCUGUGCUACAUUCUCCUUUGAUCCUGUAAGCAAAAGGCAAUAUAUAUACUGUUGGACCUUGAAGCUCCAAGACAUCUUAUGUUUUGUAUGUACUCCCCUGGUUAUUUAGCAAAUGCCAAAAAAGUGUGUUGUUUCUGUCAUGAGUACAUCGUUUGGCUGGGAGUUUUUCCUACUUGUUAUAAAUAUUAGGAACUUAAGCACAUAACGACGUAUCGAUCCUGUAAGCAAACAUCCUAUAUGGUGUGCUCUAACAUUUUCUUUGAUAUAGUUUUUUUAACAAAAUAACGGUGCCCAAGUCACUUCUAAUAAAGAGCAUGUGCUCGUGUAAUAGUACACUCAUAAUUCAUUGUGAUCAAAUGUACACAGAGUUUGCAGAAGCUAUGGAAGAAAUGGUAACUUUCUUACUUGGGAAAACUGCAUUAGAUAACGAUGAUGAUGACAGUGGUAAAUUGUCUGAAUCUAUAAGCACAUUAUGUGGAAGCUUGCAUGCUAGGAUUUAUUCCUAGAAGUUCUUGCACAAAGGACAUUUCCUGAUUUAAAGCCAACUAUGUUAUAUUUUGAUGGUAAUGCUCCUUUUUUCAAAAUUACCAGAUCCUUCAUGAAAAGAACUAUUGAUGUGACUUUUUCUAUACAUGUGGUGAUGCUAAGGCUCAGUUUGAACUACAAAAGUUCGUGGAUAACUAUCGUAAAAAUGUCAUAAAUACAGUCACAAACCCAUCAGAUCUAUGCUAUGGAUGCCGUGGUGAUUGCUGGAACGGAGGGUUCCUGGGAUGAUGAGAAGGUAUGCAGAUUCAUACUGUUCCAGGUUCAGACUGAAAUCUAAACUAAUGAAUGUAGAGUUGUAGACACAAUAUUUUUGUUGAUGCUGGUCAUCAAGUAAUUCAUGAAGUUGGGAUGGGGGGGGGGGGGGGGAGAACAUUAUGGGGAGUAUUGAAUUAGCCGAAAACGCAGAGUUCGUAAUUUAGUUUUUAGAUUGGAAUGUGCUAUGCAUUACUAAAAGAGUUUUUUUUUCUGGAGAUGAAUCUAAAUGGUCUGACGGUCUGAGUACUCGUCGGCAUGACGAGGUGACUACAGAUCCACCAUAACAUGCGAGUGGCAAUGCUCCAGGACAAGCAGGUCAAACUAUUGUCCAAAUAAUUUUUUGUACGAUUGGAAGUGCAAGCAUUUCUCCAAGAUGGUUUGGUCCUGGUGUUCAUGCAGCCGGCGAUGGCAUACCUUCACAGAAUGGAGUACGGCGUAGGUGUUCAAGGGUUGUAUCAGGCCGCAUGGGAAGAACCUGAAGUUGCAAGUGGAUACGGUCAAGAACAUAGUUAAAGGUGAUAUGGGAGAUAAGUUCCAUAGGCAAGCUGGAUUGAGGCUUGAUGAGCCGAACCCAAGGGACGUGCUUAGUUUCUACCACAAAAUUCUAUCAUUCACAUCAACGGAUGUUGCAAAGAAGUGGUUCAAGCAUACUUAUCCAAAUCUUAUAAUCCUGAGGGAGAAGACUUUGUGAAGGAGUUCAGGCUGAAUGGCCAGUUAACAAGAAUCGGGUGGAUCUGCGUGUGGUGGAUGAUCGUUUACAAGGAAUGUUGAAUGUAUGGUUCCUGCAGAUGUUCAGGUGGCGCCACGUAUUCGACCUGCGAUUUGUG